CUGGGGCCCUCGGGGUCGCCACGCUCGGCCUCCGUGGCGGAUUACGUCACAGCCCCCGAGACGCCUCCCUGUGACGUCAUCCCCCGCCGGCCCCGCGGUGUCGGUGUGUCGUCACGGGCGCGUCCCACCGCAGCUCUGGAAUGCCUGGUGCGCCCCGCGCGGCCUGGGGGCGUGACCCCGGAGCCCUCCUUCUGUUCUCCGCUUUUGGGGUGUUUUUGUUUUGUUUUGUUUGUUUUGUUUGUUUUCCGCCCCCACCAAGAGUUCAGGAGCCCCCGGGGCAGGGUGCGCGGUGCUCACGCGCCCUCCGCGUACGGGACGGUCUCGGGGGCUAAAGGGGCGCGGGCGUUCCUCGCCCCUAGGAUCCCUUCUGCUUCUUAGAACCAAUAAAAUACCGUUGCGUCUUCCUGAGAACUGGGCCGGAGGAUUCCUGCGGGGGCUCCGCGUCACGACCCGGACGUCAUGCCCUGGCUCCUCUUGAGGCCGCGGGCGCCUUCCUUCCGCCCUUAGGAUUUGGGCCUCCACUUCCUCCGUGAAGUCUGCAAUCUGCUGCUUCCUUAGAUCCGUUUUGAUCUGUACCUACGAUGCCGCUUUACAGAUCCCUUCGAACCUCAUCAAGCAUCCCAGAACUUUGGUUCUAAAACCACACUGAUGCUUCGUCAUGAGAAAUCUACGUAAUGGGGUUAGGGGAAACCGAAUUACAGGGGAAAGGGAUUGCUCAGGGAAGCACGUGUCAAAACUGGGAUUAAAUUUUGAUUCCUCAUCCUCCCA